rnacentral:rRNA from 1 species
AUUGAACGCUGGCGGCAGGCCUAACACAUGCAAGUCGAGCGAGCGGCGGACGGGUGAGUAAUGUAUGGGGACUGCCCGAUAGAGGGGGAUAACUACUGGAAACGGUGGCUAAUACCGCAUACUAUCGGAUAACCCAUAGGGGAUUAGCUAGUAGGUGGGGGAAAGGCUCACCUGGGCGACGAUCUCGAGCUGGUCUGAGAGGAUGAUGAGCCCAACUGGGACUGAGACACGGCCCAUACUCCUACGGAGGCAGCAGUGGGGAAUAGUGCACAAUGGGCGCAAGCCUGUUGCAGCCAUGCCGCGUGGAUGAAGAAGGCCUUAGGGUGGUAAAGUACUUUCAGUCGUGAGGCGUUACCGACAGAAGAAGCACCGGCUAACUCCGUGCCAGCAGCCGCGGUAAUAC